GGUGGGAUGGCCGAGCGGUCUAAGGCGCCAGACUAAGGCCGAUCGAUCGAUCAGUCGAUCGUAGGAUCCGAUCACCUUGUGAUCAUGCUAUAUCUGGUCCGAAAGGGCGUGGGUUCGAAUCCCACUCCCAUCA